CCUAAGCCAUGCAAGUCUCCGUACAAACUGCAUUAAAGUGAAACCGCAAAAGGCUCAGUAAACCAGUCAUGAUUUACGUGAGUAAACGUGACUGUCUUUGGAUAACUGUGGUAAUCCUAGAGCUAAUACAUGCAAUCAAGUCCCGACCAGUUUCACUGGGAAGGACGCUUUUAUUAGAUCAAGACCAAUCGCCCGGCUUCGGUUGGGCGUUUCCUUGGUGACUCUAGGUAACACAUCAGAUCGCACGGUCUCGUACCGGCGACUCAUCCUUCAAAUGCCUGACUUAUCAACUGACGAUGGUAGACUCCAUGUCUACCAUGGUGAUAACGGGUAACGGGGAAUCAGGGUUCGAUUCCGGAGAGGGAGCCUGAGAAACGGCUACCACAUCCAAGGAAGGCAGCAGGCACGCAAAUUACCCACUCCCAGCACGGGGAGGUAGUGACAAAAAAUAACGAUACGGGACUCAUUUGAGGCCCCGUAAUCGGAAUGAGUACACUUUAAAUCCUUUAACAAGGAUCCAUUGGAGGGCAAGUCUGGUGCCAGCAGCCGCGGUAAUUCCAGCUCCAAUAGCGUAUAUUAAAGUUGUUGCGGUUAAAAAGCUCGUAGUUGGUUCUGCGUGCCACGCUGUCGGUUCGCCGCCUGCCGGUGUUACUGGCAUGUCGUGGCAUGUCCUGUCGGUGGGUGUUCGGGGCCCCGUGCGGGCGGCAGGAGGCCGGACUUCGGUUCGCGUUCCUCCCUGCACGUCGGCGGGUUCACUCCGGCUCCCUAUUAUCCUACCUAGGUGCUCUUCACCGAGUGUCGAGGUAGGCCGACACGUUUACUUUGAACAAAUCAGAGUGCUUAAAGCAGGCUGAAAAAUUCUGCCUGAAUGAUGGCGCAUGGAAUAAUAAAACAGGACCUUGGUUCUAUUUUGUUGGUUCUUAGGAACACAAGGUAAUGAUCAAUAAGGACAGGCGGGGGCAUUCGUAUUGCGGGGUUAGAGGUGAAAUUCUUGGAUCCUCGCAAGACGACCGAGAGCGAAAGCAUUUGCCAAGUAUGUCUCGAUUGAUCAAGAACGAAAGUUAGAGGUUCGAAGGCGAUCAGAUACCGCCCUAGUUCUAACCAUAAACGAUGCCAGCCAGCGAUCCGCCGAUGUUCCUCCGAUGACUCGGCGGGGAGCUUCUCCCCGGGAAACCAAAGCUUUUGGGUUCCGGGGGAAGUAUGGUUGCAAAGCUGAAACUUAAAGGAAUUGACGGAAGGGCACCACCAGGAGUGGAGCCUGCGGCUUAAUUUGACUCAACACGGGAAACCUCACCAGGUCAGGACAUUGUAAGGAUUGACAGAUUGAUAGCUCUUUCUUGAUUCAGUGGGUAGUGGUGCAUGGCCGUUCUUAGUUGGUGGAUCGAUUUGUCUGGUUAAUUCCGAUAACGAACGAGACUCUAGCCUAUUAACUAGACGAUUCGGGAGCCCACGUCUCCCGCGAAUCUAAAUCUUCUU
rnacentral:rRNA from 1 species